CAUACUUUUUUUUUAGUGCGGCCGUGCACUUUUCGAAACAAAGCUACCAGUUCUCAAAAGAAAUUGCGACAUUUCAGAACACAAACGCCUGCCGUUGUAAACACUAAAAGAGAAAAUGAUUAAUUUCGGGAAAGUAACAAUCUUGGUUUCCAUCAUAUGCUCAUUUGGGACCUCUGUACAACUGCCUCGCGGAGUAGACCGUUAUGCAUAUUGUGAGAGUUGCUUGGCCACGACACAAGAAAUGGAAGCUAUUGAGAGGAAACUGUCUUUGGGAUCCAGACCACAGCUUGUUGAGAAGCUGAUCGAUGACGUCAUUUGUGAAAAUGUAUCCUUUCAAAGACGUGCUCAUCUUCCAGCUGACCAGCUGAGGACAGCCUGCAAGCACCUGUUGGAUGUCUACGGUGAAGAAUUCCGUGAUGCACUGCUGCGCCGCAGAGAAUCCGAACGCUUGGACAUUCUUUUGUGCUACGAAAAUUCUUUGGCUUGUGUCGGAGUGAAAAGACACGCCGACCAGGUGGGCCAACAAGAAAACAAGAAUUCCUUCACGGACAGUGACAUCGAAGCACUGAUGCAGCAUAACAGUGUGAAUUUGCGCGUUCCGCGGCCUGUCCAUACCAACAUUACGAAGAUGCCUUUAAAGGACGAACUGUAAAAAAAAAUAUGGCCAAGCGCUGAUGGAAGGAAUAUAUACCUGAUCAAUACAUCUGAGUACUAACAGCAGUUUAUCUGUAAAAACACAGACAUACAUAAAUGUAACGGUUUUGAUCGGUUUAAUAAUGAACUAGGCCUAUAUUAUUUAUUAAGACGUUAUACGGGAAUUGGCUGACGCGAUUGCUGUAUUCAUGUACAUUGAAACAGCGAUACCUAGUGGCUGUACUAGGUUACAUUCUUACAGUAAAUGGUUUGAAGUGCA